ACCUACGGGGCGCAGCAGUGAGGAAUAUUGGUCAAUGGCCGGAAGGCUGAACCAGCCAAGUCGCGUGAGGGACGACUGCCCUAUGGGUUGUAAACCUCUUUUAUAAGGGAAGAAUAAAUGCUACGUGUAGCAUGAUGCCUGUACCUUAUGAAUAAGCAUCGGCUAACUCCGUGCCAGCAGCCGCGGUAAUACGGAGGAUGCGAGCGUUAUCCGGAUUUAUUGGGUUUAAAGGGUGCGCAGGCGGAGGCACAAGUCAGCGGUAAAAUCGCGGGGCUCAACCCCGCUCCGCCGUUGAAACUGUGUCC
rnacentral:rRNA from 1 species